UACGUAGGGUGCGAGCGUUGUCCGGAAUUAUUGGGCGUAAAGAGCUCGUAGGCGGUGUGUCACGUCGGCCGUGAAAACCUGCAGCUUAACUGUGGGCGUGCGGUCGAUACGGGCAUCACUGGAGUUCGGCAGGGGAGACUGGAAUUCCUGGUGUAGCGGUGAAAUGCGCAGAUAUCAGGAGGAACACCGGUGGCGAAGGCGGGUCCCUGGACAGAUCCUGACGCUGAGGCACGAAAGCUAGGGGAGCAAACAGG
rnacentral:rRNA from 1 species